CCAGUCUUCUCCAGUUUCUUCACAGUGCCCUAGCCGACGCCCCUCCUGCUUCCAAGCGCCCGACAGCGAGCACCAUGGCCCCGCUGCCGCCGGAUCCUCUGCAGGGUGUGCCAUCCCGUGAUAUCAAUGUCACAGAUUUAUCUUUGGGCAGCUACAGAGCAGUGAUAGAUUGGAUGCAUGCUAGUGACUUGGACCGUGCGCCGAAUAAUCGCUAUCACAAUUUGCCGAUCACAUCGGAGACUCCAGGAUGGCAUCGCGUCAAUCUUACCCAUCCAGGGCUUCCGACUCUGUCGCUCCUGAUCAACGAGAAAAAUGGUUAUCUAACCGGACUUCGUAGGGGCGACGGUGUGUGAAUGUUUUUCGACGAUGUAAAUAUACCGGAUGGUGUUCAAAGACAAUCUCUUGGUUUGACAUCAUCGUACCUUAAGAUGCUGAAGGGAGACGAAAGAGACCAUCUACGUAUUGGCAAGCCUAUCAUCGAGAACGCCUACCAUACUCUGGUGGACUACAAUGCGAAUCUCAACCUGAAGGAUCGCAGAAUGAGAUCACAAAGGAAAGGUUUGGCUCAGAUGGUAAUGAUGUUGUGUGAGCCCACACGUAUCAACCCGAUUCUAGAGCUGAUGUGUCAAUUGAUGAACAGUGAAGUUAGUGUUCCUGUGCCUCCAAAUCUGUGGGAGUUGGCAAAAAACUGGUCAACGCUGUCAAGGUUCUCCCUUCAUUGCAAGGAAAUGGAGGAAGACGGUACUGGUCUCGAUCCAAAAAUGAUAGCUGAAGUAUCUAUCUAUGAGGUUAACAGCAGGGAAGAUGUUCUUAGGGUGCUACGCCUGAUCUUACGUCAGGAUCAGGAAAAUUGAUAGCCACACCUAAGAGCUCGAUGAUAAUUCCCCUUUUUUUGUAAUCUAACCAAUGGCGGCUGUUAUGUGAACUCCACGGAAGAAAGCGAACUCCAUGGCACUUCAGUCCACUAGACUGUUCAGUUUUCAUUACGAACUCUACUGUCGCAUUCCUCAACAUUCUACUGCUGUUUGAAAACUGAAACUUGGACGUCAGCGUCCACUUAUUAUUCUACUCCGUAGUACUCUAGCUUCUAUAUUAUUGU